UGCUCCCAGAGCAGAUCUGCAGGGCUGGGUGUUCAGCGGUCCUGAGCCUCCACCCGCCUCCCCGGCUCCGUUUCUCUUCCUCCCUCCGCUGAGCUCGGGUGCAGGAAGAAGUGCUGGCGGGGUCCCUCUGGAUCACGGCCUUGGUACAUCACCCUCCACCUUGAGAGACAGAGUGUGUAUGCUGAGAGGAGCAGCUGUCGUUCCGGUGAGGUGGACGCUGACCCAGGUGACAACAUGAGGGAAAAUGGAAUCCAGAACCAAGGUGUACUGUGUGUUUCUUUUGAUUUUGGAGUCAGUACUAAACGGUUCCAUGAGCAA